CGAUUUAAGCAGCAACAAAAUGUAAAGACAAUGGCUGCACUUCUUUUUUCCUAUCCUUUUAAGACCCACAUUUGAACUAUUUCACUCUUCUCUGUUUUCUGAACAAAGAUUCUCUCUCAAUUUAAAAAUGUAGGGAAAAAGAUAGAAGGAAAAAAAUGAGAAAGAGAUGACAUUGAGUAAAGAAAAGAUGAACCACGGGAGCACUUACACACGGGAAGCCGAG
rnacentral:lncRNA from 1 species